AAAUUGAAGAGUUUGAUCAUGGCUCAGAUUGAACGCUGGCGGCAGGCCUAACACAUGCAAGUCGAACGGUAACAGGAAGCAGCUUGCUGCUUCGCUGACGAGUGGCGGACGGGUGAGUAAUGUCUGGGAAACUACCUGAUGGAGGGGGAUAACUACUGGAAACGGUAGCUAAUACCGCAUAACGUCGCAAGACCAAAGG
rnacentral:rRNA from 1 species